AGAUGAAAACAAAUAAUCAAAUUCAGAAAGCAAUACAAGCCUACUUGUAUUCGGUAAAGGGUCCUAAGGCUUAAAUAUAACUCAUUAGUGGUUCAUGGUGAGCUUAAUCUAACUAUUAAUGUGGCCCAAGGUUCAUUUGCAUGAUUUAACACAUACGGUACUUGAUAUAUUUCCGGUCGUAACUUAUUUCAUGUGAAAACCGUCAAAAACAUACAUAAGAUUUUCAAACAUAAGCUUUAACGAGUUAGCAAGAUUUUAGGAAGUCUACGGGAAGAAGAAAAUUUGCUUAUUUCGCCACUGAAAAUGUCAGAUUUUCCAGUGAAGAAUAACAAAUCUAAACAUCAAAUAAAUUAAAAUAUUACAUAAGUAGAACAGUUUACAAAGUCAGGAAAUGUACCGUACGUAGUAGACUUGUAUCUAUUCAUCUGCUAGCUGCUGUUUUGAUAUCAUGAAAAAAGAUGGAGCAUAUUUAUAAAUAUCACAAGUAAUACCAAGAGUUGUUUUUUCUUAAUUUUGAAAUUCAAAAAUAAAAAUGCCUAAAAGACGGACGUUAUGAACGUAGCAAAGAGAUGAUUUUAAAGGAAUUUCAAAUAUUUCAAGAAGGAAAUAAUGAUAGGAAGCUCCAGUGCAACUCAUUUUGUUGUUUGUUAUUAGAAAAUAUGAUUUAAGAAACAUGACUUCAUUUUCAUGCAUUUUUAGUGCUAAAAUGAUCUCUCACUUUAGAGGGAACUUUGGGAAGGUUUGUAGAAUUUGAACCAAUCAAAUAUUGGUUUAAUAAAUAGCAUUGUCCGUCAAACAUGAUUUCUAACUUCAAGCAACUAAAUGAGCCUUCACAUUAAUACAGAAAUAUGAGAAAACUUGUUCUGUAGUAACGUUGCUCACUUUUCUGUUUUAAAGCAGAAAAUAAGUGCAACUAAUAGGUUUGACUGAAAUAACUUGCUUAAUAUUCUAAAAACAAAGACCCCAAGUUUACAAAGUUUCAAGAGACAUCCUACGGGUUACUCAACUACUCAUCAUGAUUAUCAUUCGGCUUAUCACAACUACUAGCAUCGACUUAAUCAAUCCUCACUUUGAAUUUGUUCUUAGUGUGUGCAGAAUUAGGAGUUAAACCUAAUCAGCACAACUCUUUCCGCACAACUAUCCAAGUUGACAUUGGAUGCUCUAGGGGCAUGAUUUCACAGGUUUCAAAAUAUUAUUUCAGUUACCAACUUCCAAUUUGCUUUUAUAGCAUAAUGAAGUCAUUACACAGUGUAUAAUCAUUUCUUUAGUAUUUUCAUUGCACAAAGCAAAUUUUAAGAAUAUCCCAGGGAAAGGACUGUUUGUUAUUCCAUUACUUUUAUAACAUAAAAAUGUUACUGUCAUAAAAAUGAAAAAUACAGGAAAAUAAAAAGUGAAA